GCGGACGUGGUGGAAUGGUAGACACGCUAUCUUCAGGCGGUAGUGGGAUUUACCCGUGUGAGUUCAACUCUCAUCGUCCGCA
rnacentral:tRNA from 1 species